UCCCUAUGGGGUGCACCAGGCGCGAAAACUUUACAAUGCGGGCAACCGUGAUAAGGGAACCUCGAGUGCCUGUAUAUGCAGGCUGUCCAGGUGUCUAAAACACACCUGAAGAAAGGGCCGGGCAAGACCGGUGCCAGCCGCCGCGGUAAUUCA
rnacentral:rRNA from 2 species